rnacentral:rRNA from 1 species
CCUGACUGCUAUCGGAUUGGUACUAAGCCAUGUGAGUCGUUGUAGCAAUACAAGGCAUACGGCUCAGUAACACGUAGUCAAUCUAACCUAUGGACGGGGAUAACCUCGGGAAACUGAGGAUAAACCCCGAUAGAUCAUUAUGCCUGGAACGGUUUAUGGUCCAAAUGAUUCGUCGCCGUAGGAUGGGACUGCGGCCUAUCAGCUUGUUGGUGAGGUAAUGGCCCACCAAGGCUAUUACAGGUACGGGCUCUGAGAGGAGAAGCCCGGAGAUGGGUACUGAGACACGGACCCAGGCCCUAUGGGGCGCAGCAGGCGAGAAACCUUUGCAAUGUGCGCAAGCACGACAAGGUUAAUCCGAGUGUUUCCUGCUUAAGGAAUCUUUUGUUAGUUGUAAAACCACUGAUGAAUAAGGGGUGGGCAAGUUCUGGUGUCAGCCGCCGCGGUAAAACCAGCACCUCAAGUGGUCAGGAUGAUUAUUGGGCCUAAAGCAUCCGUAGCCUGUUCUAUAAGUUUCCGGUUAAAUCCAUUAGCUCAACUAAUGGGCUGCCGAAAAUACUGUAGAACUAGGAAGUGGGAGAGGUAGACGGUACUCGGUAGGAAGGGGUAAAAUCCUUUGAUCUAUUGAUGACCACCUGUGGCGAAGGCGGUCUACCAGAACACGUUCGACGGUGAGGGAUGAAAGCUGGGGGAGCAAACCGGAUUAGAUACCCGGGUAGUCCCAGCUGUAAACGAUGCAGACUCGGUGAUGCCCUGGCUUGUGGCCAGUGCAGUGCCGCAGGGAAGCCGUUAAGUUUGCCGCCUGGGAAGUACGUACGCAAGUAUGAAACUUAAAGGAAUUGGCGGGGGAGCACCACAAGGGGUGAAGCCUGCGGUUC